rnacentral:rRNA from 1 species
GUGAGUCAUCGAGUCUUUGAACGUAUCUUGCGCUACUUGGUAUUCCAUGGAGCAUGCCUGUUUGAGUGUCACGUAAACCCUCACCCUUGCGAUGUUAAACCGUUGCAUGUGGUGGACUUGGACUGUGCCGUAGUUGGCUCGCCCUCAAAUGCAUUAGCUUGCGCUAGUUAGAGUGCUCGGAUUGGUGUGAUAAUUAUCUGCGCCGUGUCCUCAGGCCUCUUCUUUUGGUGCUGUCUUCCAACCGUCCUUUGUGGACAUGACACUAUUUUAAGCUUUGGCCUCAAAUCAUGGUAGGUACUACCCGCUGAACUUAAGCAUAUCAAUAAGGCGAGG